rnacentral:sRNA from 1 species
GCGUCCAUGGAUGCACGCUGGCCGGCGAGGUUUCGCCCGCCGGCGUAAUUUCG